rnacentral:rRNA from 1 species
ACCAGACUCCUACGGGAGGCAGCAGUGGGGAAUAUUGCACAAUGGGGGAAACCCUGAUGCAGCGACGCCGCGUGAGUGAAGAAGUAUUUCGGUAUGUAAAGCUCUAUCAGCAGGGAAGAAAAUGACGGUACCUGAUUAAGAAGCCCCGGCUAACUACGUGCCAGCAGCCGCGGUAAUACGUAGGGGGCAAGCGUUAUCCGGAUUUACUGGGUGUAAAGGGAGCGUAGACGGUGAUGCAAGUCAGAAGUGAAAGCCCGGGGCUCAACUCCGGGACUGCUUUUGAAACUGUGUGACUGGAGUGCAGGAGAGGUAAGCGGAAUUCCUGGUGUAGCGGUGAAAUGCGUAGAUAUCAGGAGGAACACCAGUGGCGAAGGCGGCUUACUGGACUGUAACUGACGUUGAGGCUCGAAAGCGUGGGGAGCAAACAGGAUUAGAUACCCCAGUAAC